rnacentral:rRNA from 1 species
GUAUGGGGCGAGCGUUAUCCGGAUUCAUUGGGCGUAAAGCGCGCGUAGGCGGAGCGCUAAGAGGGACCUCUAACCCGAGGGCUCAACCCCCGGCCGGGUCCCGAACUGGCGCUCUCGAGUGCGGUAGGGGAGAGCGGAAUUCCCGGUGUAGCGGUGGAAUGCGCAGAUAUCGGGAAGAACACCGACGGCGAAGGCAGCUCUCUGGGCCGAAACUGACGCUGAGGCGCGAANNCUNGGGGAGCGAACAGGAUUAGAUACCCUGGUAGUCCCAGCCGUAAACGAUGGGCGCUAGGUGUGGGGGAUGAGAUCCCCCGUGCCGCAGCCAACGCAUUAAGCGCCCCGCCUGGGGAGUACGGCCGCAAGGCUAAAACUCAAAGG